rnacentral:rRNA from 1 species
UUGGGAACGCUGAUAAACCCAGAGGCGAAAUGAAAGUGAAAGGCCGGCCUCGAGCCGGUCGCAGGGAAGAUGCGCGGGCGUCGUCAGACGCCCCGCCGCAUUCCCGAGGCGUUUCGAGAAAGCCCCCGUGCGAUUAUCGAGACGCACUGAGAGCGUACACGCUGGGACCCGAAAGAUGGUGAACUAUGCCUGGUCAGGUCGAAGUCAGGGGAAACCCUGAUGGAGGACCGAAGCGAUUCUGACGUGCAAAUCGAUCGUCCGAACUGGGUAUAGGGGCGAAAGACUAAUCGAACUAUCUAAUAGCUGGUUCCAUCCGAAGUUUCCCUCAGGAUAGCUGGCGCUCGAGAAACAUGACGGUUUUCGGACCGCCAUUCGCACAGUCUCAUCCGGUAAAGCGAAUGAUUAGAGGCAUUGGGGCCGAAAUGGCCUCAACCUAUUCUCAAACUUUAAAUGGGUGAGAUCUCCUUCUUGCUCGAAGAUGAAGUAGGAGCUCGGAUGGGAGUGCCAAGUGGGCCAAUUUUGGUAAGCAGAACUGGCGCUGUGGGAUGAACCAAACGUCGAGUUAAGGCGCCCAAUGAACGCUCAUCGGAUACCAUAAAAGGCGUUGGUCGCUCAGGACAGCAGGACGGUGGCCAUGGAAGUCGGA